UGGGGAAUAUUGCGCAAUGGGGGAAACCCUGACGCAGCGACGCCGCGUGUGGGAUGAAGGUCUUCGGAUUGUAAACCACUGUCGCGAGGGACGAAGCUCUGACGGUACCUCGAAAGGAAGCACCGGCUAACUCUGUGCCAGCAGCCGCGGUAAUACAGAGGUGGCAAGCGUUGUUCGGAAUUACUGGGCGUAAAGGGCGCGUAGGCGGCCCUCUAAGUCAGACGUGAAAUCCCCCGGCUUAACCUGGGAACUGCGUCUGAUACUGGAGGGCUUGAGUAUGGGAGAGGGAUGUAGAAUUCCAGGUGUAGCGGUGAAAUGCGUAGAUAUCUGGAGGAACACCGGUGGCGAAGGCGGCAUCCUGGACCGGUAUUGACGCUGAGGCGCGAAAGCCAGGGGAGCAAACGGGAUUAGAUACCCCGGUAGUCCCUGAGCGGGCUGGCAAGGCGCAU
rnacentral:rRNA from 1 species